GACAGAGGGUGCAAACGUUGUUCGGAAUUACUGGGCGUAAAGCGCGUGUAGGCUGCUCCGCAAGUCGGAUGUGAAAGCCCUGGGCUCAACCUAGGAAGUGCAUUCGAAACUUCGGAGCUGGAGUCCUGGAGAGGAAGGCGGAAUUCUCGGUGUAGAGGUGAAAUUCGUAGAUAUCGAGAGGAACACCGGUGGCGAAGGCGGCCUUCUGGACAGUGACUGACGCUGAGACGCGGAAAGCGUGGGGAGCAAACAGG
rnacentral:rRNA from 1 species